rnacentral:rRNA from 1 species
GUCCUACGGGGCGCAGCAGUGGGGGAUAUUGCACAAUGGGGGAAACCCUGAUGCAGCGACGCCGCGUGUGGGAAGACGGUCUUCUGGAUUGUAAACCACUGUCCCCAGGGACGAAAAUGACGGUACCUGGGGAGGAAGCUCCGGCUAACUACGUGCCAGCAGCCGCGGUAAUACGGAGGAUGCGAGCGUUAUCCGGAUUUAUUGGGUUUAAAGGGUGCGUAGGCGGUCCGUUAAGUCAGCGGUAAAAUUGCGGGGCUCAACCCCGUCGAGCCGUUGAAACUGGCAGACUUGAGUUGGCGAGAAGU